AUACUCUGGCUUCUCUUCAGCUUGUAUAAAUCUUUCGCCUUUUACUAAAGAUUUCCGUGGAGAGGAGCAUCAAUGAGUUUUGUGAAUUUCCCCUUGGGAUUAAUAAAGUAUCUAU